UACGGGGGGGGCAAGCGUUGUUCGGAAUUACUGGGCGUAAAGGGCUCGUAGGCGGCCAACUAAGUCAGACGUGAAAUCCCCAGGCUCAACCUGGGAACUGCGUCUGAUACUGGAUGGCUUGAAUUCGGGAGAGGGAUGCAGAAUUCCAGGUGUAGCGGUGAAAUGCGUAGAUAUCGAGAGGAACCCCUGCGGCGAAGGCGGGUAGCUGGGCCGACACUGACGCUGAUGCGCGAAAGCCAGGGGAGCGAACGGG
rnacentral:rRNA from 1 species